rnacentral:rRNA from 1 species
GCAACGAGCGCAACCCUCGCCUCUAGUUGCCAGCAUCCGGUUGGGCACUCUAGAGGGACCUGCCGGCGACAAGUCGGAGGAAGGUGGGGAUGACGUCAAAUCAUCAUGCCCCUUAUGACCUGGGCUACACACGUGCUACAAUGGGCGGUACAAAGGGCUGCGAACCCGCGAGGGGGAGCGAAUCCCAAAAAGCCGCUCUCAGUUCGGAUUGCAGGCUGCAACUCGCCUGCAUGAAGCCGGAAUCGCUAGUAAUCGCGGAUCAACAUGCCGCGGUGAAUACGUUCCCGGGCCUU